rnacentral:rRNA from 1 species
GCAAGUCGAGGGGUAACAGAAGUAGCUUGCUACUUGCUGACGACCGGCGCACGGGUGCGUAACGCGUAUACAAUUUGCCCUUUACUGGAGGAUAGCCCUAAGAAAUUGGGAUUAAUACUCCAUAAUAUUAUGAAUUCGCAUGUUUUUAUAAUUAAAGCUCCGGCGGUAAAGGAUGAGUAUGCGUCCUAUUAGAUUGUUGGUGAGGUAGCGGCUCACCAAGUCAGCGAUAGGUAGGGGGUCUGAGAGGAUGAUC